AGCGGCGGAUAGGUGAGUAACACGUGGGUAACCUGCCCAAGAGACUGGGAUAACACCUGGAAACAGAUGCUAAUACCGGAUAACAACACUAGACGCAUGUCUAGAGCUUGAAAGAUGGUUCUGCUAUCACUCUUGGAUGGACCUGCGGUGCAUUAGCUAGUUGGUAAGGUAACGGCUUACCAAGGCAAUGAUGCAUAGCCGAGUUGAGAGACUGAUCGGCCACAUUGGGACUGAGACACGGCCCAAACUCCUACGGGAGGCAGCAGUAGGGAAUCUUCCACGAUGGACGAAAGUCUGAUGGAGCAACGCCGCGAGAGUGAAGAAGGGUUUCGGCUCGUAAAGCUCUGUUGGUAGUGAAGAAAGAUAGAGGUAGUAACUGGCCUUUAUUUGACGGUAAUUACUUAGAAAGUCACGGCUAACUACGUGCCAGCAGCCGCGGUAAUACGUAGGUGGCAAGCGUUGUCCGGAUUUAUUGGGCGUAAAGCGAGUGCAGGCGGUUCAAUAAGUCUGAUGUGAAAGCCUUCGGCUCAACCGGAGAAUUGCAUCAGAAACUGUUGAACUUGAGUGCAGAAGAGGAGAGUGGAACUCUAUGUGUAGCGGUGGAAUGCGUAGAUAUAUGGAAGAACACCAGUGGCGAACGCGGCUCUCUGGUCUGCAACUGACGCUGAGGCUCGAAAGCAUGGGUAGCGAACAGGAUUAGAUACCCUGGUAGUCCAUGCCGUAAACGAUGA
rnacentral:rRNA from 1 species